AUUGAACGCUGGCGGCAGGCCUAACACAUGCAAGUCGAACGGUAACAGGAAGAAGCUUGCUUCUUUGCUGACGAGUGGCGGACGGGUGAGUAAUGUCUGGGAAACUGCCUGAUGGAGGGGGAUAACUACUGGAAACGGUAGCUAAUACCGCAUAACGUCGCAAGACCAAAGAGGGGGACCUUCGGGCCUCUUGCCAUCGGAUGUGCCCAGAUGGGAUUAGCUAGUAGGUGGGGUAACGGCUCACCUAGGCGACGAUCCCUAGCUGGUCUGAGAGGAUGACCGGCCACACGGGAACUGAGACACGGUCCAGGCUCCUACGGGAGGCAGCAGUGGGGAAUAUUGCACAAUGGGCGCAAGCCUGAUGCAGCCAUGCCGCGUGUAUGAAGAAGGCCUUCGGGUUGUAAAGUACUUUCAGCGGGGAGGAAGGGAGUAAAGUUAAUACCUUUACUCAUUGACGUUACCCGCAGAAGAAGCACCGGCUAACUCCGUG
rnacentral:rRNA from 1 species